rfam:Hepatitis C virus isolate QC176, complete genome
AUUCCCGUCGUGGGCGCUCCCCUCGGGGGCGUCGCGGCGGCCCUGGCUCAUGGAGUCAGGGCCAUCGAGGACGGGAUCAAUUAUGCAACAGGGAACCUACCCGGUUGCUCCUU